CUGGCCUCAAAUCAGGUAGGGCUACCCGCUGAACUUAAGCAUAUCAAUAAGCGGAGGAAAAGAAACUAACUAGGAUUCCCUUAGUAACGGCGAGUGAACCGGGAUGAGCUCAAAUUUAAAAUCUGGCGUCUUUCAGGCGUCCGAGUUGUAAUCUAUAGAGGCGUUUUCCGCGCCGGACCGCGUCCAAGUCUCUUGGAAUAGAGUAUCAAAGAGGGUGACAAUCCCGUACUUGACGCGACAACCGGUGCUCUGUGAUACGUUCUCAAUGAGUCGAGUUGUUUGGGAAUGCAGCUCUAAAUGGGUGGUAAAUUCCAUCUAAGGCUAAAUAUUGGCGAGAGACCGAUAGCGAACAAGUACCGUGAGGGAAAGAUGAAAAGCACUUUGGAAAGAGAGUUAAACAGCACGUGAAAUUGUUAAAAGGGAAACGAUUGAAGUCAGUCGUGUGAAAGGUAUUCAGCCGUCUCUGGCGGUGUAUUUGCCUUUCACGGGUCAACAUCAGUUUGAUCCGGUAGAAAAAGGCGGGAGGAAGGUGGCACCCUCGGGUGUGUUAUAGCCUCCUGUCAUAUGUGCCGGACCAGACUGAGGAACGCAGCUUGCCGCAAGGCCGGGGUUCGCCCACGUACAAGC
rnacentral:rRNA from 1 species